rnacentral:miRNA from 1 species
GCUGAUGCUGAUGUUGCUGCUGCUGUGACUGCUGCUGGUGCUGCGACGGCGGAUGCUGCUGCUGGUGCUGGGCGAGGGCGGAAUGGUCUUGGUCCUGG